GGGUAGUUUGACUGGGGCGGUCUCCUCCCAAAGAGUAACGGAGGAGCACGAAGGUUAGCUAAUCCUGGUCGGACAUCAGGAGGUUAGUGCAAUGGCAUAAGCUAGCUUGACUGCGAGCGUGACGGCGCGAGCAGGUGCGAAAGCAGGUCAUAGUGAUCCGGUGGUUCUGAAUGGAAGGGCCAUCGCUCAACGGAUAAAAGGUACUCCGGGGAUAACAGGCUGAUACCGCCCAAGAGUUCAUAUCGACGGCGGUGUUUGGCACCUCGAUGUCGGCUCAUCACAUCCUGGGGCUGAAGUAGGUCCCAAGGGUAUGGCUGUUCGCCAUUUAAAGUGGUACGCGAGCUGGGUUUAGAACGUCGUGAGACAGUUCGGUCCCUAUCUGCCGUGGGCGCUGGAGAAUUGAGGGGGGCUGCUCCUAGUACGAGAGGACCGGAGUGGACGCAUCACUGGUGUUCGGGUUGUCAUGCCAAUGGCAUUGCCCGGUAGCUAAAUGCGGAAGAGAUAAGUGCUGAAAGCAUCUAAGCACGAAACUUGC
rnacentral:rRNA from 1 species